rnacentral:rRNA from 1 species
AGUGAACGCUGGCGGUAGGCCUAACACAUGCAAGUCGAACGGCAGCACAGUAAGAGCUUGCUCUUACGGGUGGCGAGUGGCGGACGGGUGAGGAAUACAUCGGAAUCUACUCUUUCGUGGGGGAUAACGUAGGGAAACUUACGCUAAUACCGCAUACGACCUACGGGUGAAAGCAGUGGAUCUUCUGACCUUGCGCGAUUGAAUGAGCCGAUGUCGGAUUAGCUAGUUGGCGGGGUAAAGGCCCACCAAGGCGACGAUCCGUAGCUGGUCUGAGAGGAUGAUAGGCCACACUGGAACUGAGACACGGUCCAGACUCCUACGGGAGGCAGCAGUGGGGAAUAUUGGACAAUGGGCGCAAGCCUGAUCCAGCCAUACCGCGUGGGUGAAGAAGACCUUCGGGUUGUAAAGCCCUUUUGUUGGGAAAGAAAAGCAGCAGGUUAAUACCCCGCUGUUCUGACGGUACCCAAAGAAUAAGCACCGGCUAACUUCGUG